UACGAAGGGGGCUAGCGUUGUUCGGAAUUACUGGGCGUAAAGCGCGUGUAGGCGGGGCUUUAAGUCAGGGGUGAAAUGCCAAGGCUCAACCUUGGAACUGCCUUUGAUACUGGAGACCUUGAGUCCGGGAGAGGUGAGUGGAAUUGCGAGUGUAGAGGUGAAAUUCGUAGAUAUUCGCAAGAACACCAGUGGCGAAGGCGGCUCACUGGCCCGGAACUGACGCUGAGACGCGAAAGCGUGGGGAGCAAACAGG
rnacentral:rRNA from 1 species